GUAAGUUUGUUGAGUCUUUGUUUGGCAACAUUAUGAAAGGUUCUCAAUUUUUUUACUUGUAAAAUAGGGACAUAAUUGGAAAAUGCCAUGGAUACCCCCACUCUCAACUUAAACUGAUGGUCGCAUGCGGUUGGACACAUGGAGGAGAGAAUCAUUUUCGCAGUAUCCUCAAAACCGUGUCUUUUUGACACAACUGCUGACAGCUACAGGGACAUAAACACAAAAAAUCCUGCUUGGAGACAAGUGUCCACGAUAGUAGGAUUGCCAGGUCAGUUUAGUAGUGGGCAUGUGCCAGAUGUGGCUAGUUAACGUGACCCACAACAAUGGGUCCUGGAGAAGACUAGCCUACCUUCAUCAGAGCAGAAGGCACCCCAAUGUUCUUUCCAUUUGGUAACAUUGCAUAAUUAAAAAAGGAUUCUAAACCAACUUUGGGAAAAGUUAUAGUCCUAAUGAACAUUCUGUAAAAGUACAUCUGAUGUCAAAUAGGGACUAUUAACUAGAGAGCCCUUUAGCUAGCUAGGUUGCACAUAAAAACAAUGUAUCAAAUAUAAAUCAAUUAUGGUAUCAAAGGCUUUAAAAAUGUACUAGAAUGUAGCUUACCGUAGACAAAUCACCAGGCGUUCAACUGGGCUGAUGGACUCCCGGUAGUUGGUAUCCAUCCGGAUGAUCCUGGCUCCAACCAUCUGAAGCAGGUGAUCGAACUGGCUUCGGUCCAGACGAAAGUAACUUCGGAAUUCCUCUCCAAGCAGUCGAAGCUCUUGAAUGAGACGGUGGAACUCCUCUGCCUGCUUUCGGGACUUUAACCAUCUCUGGACCCAUACAGACCUGCGCUUUCGGCGGGGCUGAUCCCGGCCCAACAGCGCGAUCAAGACCACCUUCCUCAACGUUGGUCUCAUUGUUGAAAGAGCCGACUCUGCUAUCUUGACUAUUAUGCAUUUUGCUCCAAAGCUGCAUUUUGGAGGGAAAUUAUAUUAUAGGCUCUCACAAUUAAUUUGUGGAUGUCAUCGAAUAAAUAAUAUACUUG
rnacentral:lncRNA from 1 species